UACGUAGGGUGCAAGCGUUAAUCGGAAUUACUGGGCGUAAAGCGUGCGCAGGCGGUGAUGUAAGACAGAUGUGAAAUCCCCGGGCUCAACCUGGGAACUGCAUUUGCGACUGCAUCGCUGGAGUGCGGCAGAGGGGGAUGGAAUUCCGCGUGUAGCAGUGAAAUGCGUAGAUAUGCGGAGGAACACCGAUGGCGAAGGCAAUCCCCUGGGCCUGCACUGACGCUCAUGCACGAAAGCGUGGGGAGCAAACAGG
rnacentral:rRNA from 1 species